rnacentral:rRNA from 1 species
AUGAUCCUGGUCAUGUUGUGGAUUGGUCUUGUGCAGAUCGUGGGUACCAAUGCCACCGCGAUAGUGGCCAGUGAUUCAAGAGAAGGUCGAAGCAUCACCCCUGCUAAAGUGCAGCUUCUUCAAGCAAUAUGGACAUCCUACCUUGCCUACAUCAUCAUAGAGUCAGGUGGUCAUCCAUCUGGAUAUGUCAAAUGGUCUAAAGAUAAUAUCUAUUAUCUCAUCUUUGCAAUACCAUAUGCUCUUAUCCUGGCCAAACUGCUUUUCAAGUACUAUGCAUGGUACAAAGCCAAGAAAUCAUUAGCAUUUGGACGUAAUCCUCGUCUCAUUGUUGGAUAUAUGGAUCAACUACGCUAUGGAACCCAUCAUGCUAGACUAGUAACUCAGCAGAUACCUCCUCCACUUAUAGUUAUGAGAGAGGGCAAUGUUUUGGUAGAAAACCAACCUCAUGGCUACAGCUUGACAAGGAUGAGCAACAAUGGAAUAGUGACGAUCGACCAAGUUUGGAAGUUGGAUGAUACAGUCCUUCCGAGGCCAACGGAGCAACACAAGGAUUUAUGCCUUUCAUUUGCAUUGUUCAAGCUAUUGCGGUGUCGAUUUGCAAGGUACACAAUUAGUGAGGAUGCCUCUAUGAAAGUAAGCAACUUUAUAAGACAUUUGUUGCUCACGGAUUCUGAUGAUGAAAGGGUCCUUGGGGUGAUUGCACAUGAGCUUUCAUUUCUUCAUGAUUACUAUUAUACAUCCAUUCCAAUAUCAUAUUCACGAAGAUGGCUACCCAUAUUGAGUAUAUCUGUUUCACUCUCAAGCAUCGGCUACUGCUUAAUUGCCAUCGUGUAUUGUGUACUUGUGUUUAGUGGUCCGGAUGGUUGCCAGAUCGGUUACCAUAGAGUGUAUUGUCAUUCUCCUUCUGACACUAUGUAUAUCCCUAUUGAUGAGAUGCGUUUGGGAGAAUUGUAUCAAGGAAUAUUAUACUUUGACCUUCUUCCGGUAUAUCUGCUUGCUGCACUAGUUGUGCUUGUUGAAGUGAGGGAAAUUACUUCUUGCACUUGCUCCAACUGGACCAAAGUAGCCCUAAUUUGUGGCUACGUAACACAUACAUCUUGGCGGCGAUCUCUGAUAGUUGGUAAAUGCAUUGGUCUCGUGCUGAGCUCCAGAUGCAAGCUGUUGGGGAGCUGGGAGGACAAGAUGAACCAGUGCUCAAUCCUAGUGGUUCACCCAAGUAUUAAUCCAAUGGUUAUUCUUCGACUUAUCUUUCAUCUCCCUGACCACAAGAAGAAGGUCCCAAGAGUGGUGAAGGUUGCCGUCGUCGAUGCAGUGAGAAUGUUCGACCCAAAAAAAAUCAGGCACCGAAGCAACCCUGGUGCAACACCUCUACGACUACAGCUACAGGUCGGCAGGGAACUCCUUUGGACAUUCCAUGGAGCCAAAGGAGUAGCUGAUGCCAUGCUCAUGUGUCAUGUCGCCACAAGCAUCCUUGCAAUGGCGAGUUCACAACGUCAACUUCUCUCCGACCAUGAGAUCGUCGCCACUCACUUGUCACGAUACUGCGCCUAUUUGGUGGCGUACUCUCCCAAGCUACUCCCCGAUGAUGCCGUUUGGUGCAAGAGCUUGUACACGGCCGUCAAGAAGGAUGCCGAACGCUCCCUUGCUGAUUCUGGCAUUACAAUAUCAACGUCCGAAAUGGACUAUGGGCGGCUGGUCGAGCUGCUGAGCAUGCGGUCAAAGCACCAUGUGCUUAGGGAUGGUGUGGAGCUUGGGUGGCGGCUGGCGGAGCUGCCGGAAGGAGAGGAGGUGGCGUGGAAGUCCCUUGCUGAGUUCUGGUCGGAAACCGUCGUUUGCAUCGCCGCUUCUUGUGACGACAUGGACGAGCAUGCGGAGGCCAUUGCCCGGGGCGGAGAGCUGAUAACGCUCCUAUGGGCGUUGCUUUACCAUGUCGGGAGUGUU